CUUGUUUCUCAAAUUACUUAUAUUUAUUUUAACGGAUUUUUUCUGCUUUUAUGUACUAUAAUUUAAUCAAAUAAAUUUAAAAUUCUCGUUAUUGCACAAUGGGUCUCCCGUGACGGAGAAAUGUUGAAGACGCAGGAGAAGCACAACCCAGGAGAGACUUGUGAUACAAAAGGAAUCAAUGCCGAGGCCACUUACUACAGGAGAAGCACAACCCAGGAGGGACUUGUGCUACCAGAGGAAUCAAUGCCAAGACCAACUACUACAGGAGAAGCACGACCCAGGAGGGACUUGUGCUACCAGAGGAAUCAAUGCCAAGACCAACUACUACAGGAGAAGCACGACCCAGGAGGGACUUGUGCUACCAGAGGAAUCAAUGCCAAGACCAACUACUACAGGAGAAGCACAACCCAGGAGGGACUUGUGCUACCAGAGGAAUCAAUGCCAAGACCAACUACUACAGGAGAAGCACGACCCAGGAGGGACUUGUGCUACCAGAGGAAUCAAUGCCAAGACCAACUACUACAGGAGAAGCACGACCCAGGAGGGACUUGUGCUACCAGAGGAAUCAAUGCCAAGACCAACUACUACAGGAGAAGCACGACCCAGGAGGGACUUGUGCUACCAGAGGAAUCAAUGCCAAGACCAACUACUACAGGAGAAGCACAACCCAGGAGGGACUUGUGCUACCAGAGGAAUCAAUGCCAAGACCAACUACUACAGGAGAAGCACGACCCAGGAGGGACUUGUGCUACCAGAGGAAUCAAUGCCAAGACCAACUACUACAGGAGAAGCACGACCCAGGAGGGACUUGUGCUACCAGAGGAAUCAAUGCCAAGACCAACUACUACAGGAGAAGCACGACCCAGGAGGGACUUGUGAUACCAGAGGAAUCAACGCCAAGACCAACUACUACAGGAGAAGCACAUUCCAGGAUAAUAUGCAUGCAUAUAUUAGUUUUCUCGUAUUACAUAUAAUUAGUCGUUAUCUAGACUUACAUUUAUAUAAGUAUAUAAUUUUUUAAUAUUAACAUUACCGGGGCCCCGUUUAUAUGCUCAUCCCUUUUAGGGAAAUUUGUGUUUUUUUUUAAUCUCGUUUCAGGUGUAUUUCCAUGAAGAUUUCCAGAAGAUUUCCUCUUCAAGACAACCAGGAAGCCGCUACCAGAUUGGAGAUUAUGCGCAUAAAUGAAAUCAUAUCGAGCAAAGAUAAAAUGGGCCAACCAGGACCAACAGAAGACUGCUGACGGAUCAAGAUCAACAGAAGAAAACUGCCGGAUUGGUGAAUAUCAAGAUGAAUAUGAAGUGUGAGAAGACUUUAGUUAUAUUAUUCUAUUAUUAUUAAGUAAUUAAUAUUAAGUAGUUAUAUUAUUUAUAA